rnacentral:rRNA from 1 species
GUUAUAUAGUCAAGUGAUUAAGCGUACACGGUGGAUGCCUUGGCAGCCAGAGGCGAUGAAGGACGUAGUAGCCUGCGAUAAGCUCCGGUUAGGUGGCAAACA